rnacentral:lncRNA from 1 species
UUAUGUACACAAAGACCGUCUUAUCUUGGGCAAAUAUGAGCUUUUAUUUGCAGAGUUUUGCUGUGUUUUCUGAUGAUAGCUCAUUUAUGGCGCGAUUAAGCCCUUAUGCUCCGAAAAGCUUGGGGAGGGCGCUUCACCUUGCUUAAUGUGCGCUUCAGUGUAGGCAAGGCACAAAGGCAUGCGCAUUCAUUGCCAUGAGUUCUAUCUAGAAUCGAGUAAACUAUAAGUAUAAUAAACAAAUAAGUGUAUUAGUUGUUAAGUAAAACAUUAUGAAUGAUUGGUAAUCGUUCUAUGAACUUUCUUCAAGAUUAAUUCUGGAUUUAAGGUAAGUAUUUUACUUUUCUCUUUCAAAUU